GCCCACAUAGCUUAGUUGGUAGAGCACUUCCUUGGUAAGGAAAAGGUCACCGGUUCAAAUCCGGUUGUGGGCU
rnacentral:tRNA from 2 species